rnacentral:sRNA from 1 species
AAAAAGUAGAAGCAGAAGAAAAAC